AAACUAACUAGGAUUCCCUUAGUAACGGCGAGUGAACCGGGAUGAGCUCAAAUUUGAAAUCUGGCGUCUUUCAGGCGUCCGAGUUGUAAUCUAUAGAGGCGUUUUCCGCGCCGGACCGCGUCCAAGUCUCUUGGAAUAGAGUAUCAAAGAGGGUGACAAUCCCGUACUUGACGCGACAACCGGUGCUCUGUGAUACGUUCUCAAUGAGUCGAGUUGUUUGGGAAUGCAGCUCUAAAUGGGUGGUAAAUUCCAUCUAAGGCUAAAUAUUGGCGAGAGACCGAUAGCGAACAAGUACCGUGAGGGAAAGAUGAAAAGCACUUUGGAAAGAGAGUUAAACAGCACGUGAAAUUGUUAAAAGGGAAACGAUUGAAGUCAGUCGUGUGGGAAGUAUUCAGCCGUCUCUGGCGGUGUAUUUGCUUCUCACGGGUCAACAUCAGUUUGAUCCGGUAGAAAAAGGCGGGAAGAAGGUGGCACCCUCGGGUGUGUUAUAGCUUCCUGUCAUAUGUGCCGGACCAGACUGAGGAACGCAGCUUGCAGCAAUGCCGGGGUUCGCCCACGUACAAGCUUAGGAUGUUGACAU
rnacentral:rRNA from 1 species